GUGCUCCCUUUGGCAGUACAUAUACUAAAAUUGGAAUGAUACAGAGAAAAUUAGCAUGGCCCCUACACAAGGAUUUCUGAGCAUAGAACCAGAAGUAACCCCUGAGU